rnacentral:misc_RNA from 1 species
UCUCAUUCUCUCAUGAAGCUCAUGCUGUGAAAAGCAGAUGACACAUUGCAUCAACAUUUUAGAAUGUAACGAAUGUAACAAAUGCAUAUAACACCAUCACAUAUAACACAGACAGAGUUAGACAACCACUUAAGUUUGGAGUUAGUUUCUAGUUAGCAUUUGCAGAUCUCUACUUUCAUGUGGAUUAUCAAAAUGCUCUGUCAAUUUCACCUGUUUUGAGGCAUUUGGACAUUUUAAGUUUCAACAAGUAAAAGAACCUGAGGCCAAAUGUGGAACACAUGCAGCGCCAUUACCAACAACUUGGUCCCAAAGCAAACCCAUAUAACCUUGAAAACAGGUUUUAAGAUUUUUCAAAACUAAGGUUCUUAAUAUUGCUUACAAAUACCAUGGCAGCAUCAAGCAGACCUUAUCAUAAAAAUACUUCAGACCAGCCUCAUGAAAAAAUAUAACACAUUAAGCCUAUGGAAAAGGGUCCUCCAUAAACUAAAACAUCUGCAGAUUAUGAAUAUAACAGAGAUUAAAAAUCCUAUUUCAUUUUUUAUGCUUCAAAUUCAGACAGACAAAGGUCAAGACAAACAAUGACACGGCAAAUAUAAAUAUCAAAUACCCUUCUGAAACAAGAAUGAUGUUGGACCCCUAUCUUCAGUGGAACAAUUACAGCAGCAAUGACAACAACAACAAAAACAACUAAGCUUUAAUCCCAAAUUAGUUGCAGUCGGCUAAACAGAUCUUUUUUCGCCACUCAGCUCUAUUAGACACCAAGCACGUAUCAAUAUCCAAAAAUUAUAAAUCCUUUGCCAUUACUUCCCUCCGGUCGUUUUAGGUCUCUCCCUUUUUCUUCUCACUCAUUCCCAACUAACCUAUCACACUUUUGUACUAGGGCAUUUGAUAAUCUACGUGGAACACUGAAAUCAAACAACAGAGAAAUCCUACUAAUUUGUACUCCUUCCCCUAUCUUCAGCAGAACAGUGAAAUAAAAAACCAUUUUUUGCAUGUCAUAAAUAAUUAAGGCACCAGUAUGCAAAGAGAGAGAAGGGGGCAGGCGGGCAGCACAACAGUUCUGCAGAAAUUUGCACAUUGUGCAAUUUUUUUGUAUUAUUUAAUAAAACUCUUAUCUCAUACGGGAAUAGCAAUUUAAACAUCAAAACAAUAUGUGAUUCACAUAUUGAGCUUUCACUUUCCAUUUUGUGAAAGCAAAUAUUUGAUCCAUUUUUAAAUUGUAGUUGCAAAUGAGAAACUGAUGCAGAAUAUUUGAAUGAGUGUAAAAAACCUUGAAACAGGCACAGGUAAAGUAUGUAAAAUUUCUUACUUUGUCAUACACAGCCCAAUUUAU